rnacentral:lncRNA from 1 species
AUGUCUCGUUCCCCCCCCCCAGUCCUGCCCCACGGCACCCUGUUACCUUGCGCAAGAUGGUUCGGGCCCGCUCAGACAUCCGCGUCCCCUCCUUGGCCACCUCCGUCCCCUCCUCGGCCACCCAGGCCCACUCGGCCAUCUCCAUCCCCUCUUCAGCCAUCCGUGUCCCCUCCUUGGCCGUCUGUGUCCCCUCCUCGGCCACCUGGGCUCUCUCAGCCAUCCACGUCCCCUCCUCGACCGUCUGUGUCCCCAUCUCGACCAUCUGGGCUCUCUCAACCAUCCACGUCUCCUCCUCGGACAUCUGUGUCCCCACCUUGGCCAUCUGGGCUCUCUUGGCCAUCCAUGUCCCCUCCUUGGCCAUCUGUGUCCCCUCCUCAGCCGUCUGUGUCAUCACCUCGACCAUUUGGGCUCUCUCGGCCAUCCAUGUCCCCUCCUUGGCCAUCUGCAUCCCCUCCUCGGCCAUCUCUGACUUCUCCUCGGCCGUCUGUGUCCCCACCUCGGCCAUCUGGGCUCUCUCGGCCAUCCACGUCCCCUCCUUGGCCGUCUGUGUCCCCUCCUCGGCCAUCUUGGCUCUCUUGGCCGUCCAUGUCCCCUCCUCGGCCAUCUGUGUCCCCACCUCAGCCAUUUGGGGUCUCUCCGCCAUCCAUGUCUCCUCCUUGUUCGUCUGUGUCCCCACCUCGGCCAUCUGGGCUCUCUUGGCUGUCCACAUCCCCUUCUCGACCCCGUGUCCCCUCCUCGGCCGUCUGUGUCCCCACCUCGACCAUCUGGGCUCUCUGGGCCAUCGAUGUCCCCUCCUCGUUCGUCUGUGUCCCCUCCUCGGCCAUCUGGGCUCUCUGGGCCACCCAUGUCCCCUCCUCGGCCGUCUGUGUCCCCACCUCGGCUGUCCACGUCCCCUCCUCGACCAUCCACGUCUCCUCCUCGGCCGUCCACGUCCCCUCGGCCAUCUCCGGCCCCUCGUCACCCGGCUCCUCCAGGGGCCCCCACGUGGGUGCCGGGUCCUGGGACAGGGGGGACCCCGGCGGGGGCAGGGUGUCCUGGGAAGUGGGGUGCCCCCGGGGGGGGGGAGGGGGUCAGUGCAGGGCCCCCCCCCCAGCACCCCGUGA